rnacentral:rRNA from 1 species
UACGAAGGGUGCAAGCGUUACUCGGAAUUACUGGGCGUAAAGCGUGCGUAGGUGGUGAGUUAAGUCUGUCGUGAAAGCCCCGGGCUCAACCUGGGAAUGGCGAUGGAUACUGGCUCGCUAGAGUGCGGUAGAGGAGAGUGGAAUUCCCGGUGUAGCAGUGAAAUGCGUAGAGAUCGGGAGGAACAUCAGUUGCGAAGGCGGCUCUCUGGACCAGCACUGACACUGAGGCACGAAAGCUAGGGGAGCAAACAGG